GUGCUUGCUUUGGCAGCACAUAUACUAAAAAAAUUGGAACAAUACAGAGAAGAUUAGCAGGGCCCCUGCACAAGGAUGACAUGCAAAUUCGUGAAUUGUUUCAUAUUUUA